AGCUUGCUUCCUGGUGGCGAGCGGCGGACGGGUGAGUAAUGCAUAGGAAUCUGCCCGAUAGUGGGGGAUAACCUGGGGAAACCCAGGCUAAUACCGCAUACGUCCUACGGGAGAAAGCAGGGGCUCUUCGGACCUUGCGCUAUCGGAUGAGCCUAUGUCGGAUUAGCUGGUUGGUGAGGUAAUGGCUCACCAAGGCGACGAUCCGUAGCUGGUCUGAGAGGAUGAUCAGCCACAUCGGGACUGAGACACGGCCCGAACUCCUACGGGAGGCAGCAGUGGGGAAUAUUGGACAAUGGGCGCAAGCCUGAUCCAGCCAUGCCGCGUGUGUGAAGAAGGCCCUCGGGUUGUAAAGCACUUUCAGUGGGGAAGAAAGCCUGGUGGUUAAUACCCGUCAGGAAGGACAUCACCCACAGAAGAAGCACCGGCUAACUCCGUGCCAGCAGCCGCGGUAAUACGGAGGGUGCGAGCGUUAAUCGGAAUUACUGGGCGUAAAGCGCGCGUAGGUGGCUUGAUAAGCCGGUUGUGAAAGCCCCGGGCUCAACCUGGGAACGGCAUCCGGAACUGUCAGGCUAGAGUGCAGGAGAGGAAGGUAGAAUUCCCGGUGUAGCGGUGAAAUGCGUAGAGAUCGGGAGGAAUACCAGUGGCGAAGGCGGCCUUCUGGACUGACACUGACACUGAGGUGCGAAAGCGUGGGUAGCAAACAGGAUUAGAUACCCUGGUAGUCCACGCCGUAAACGAUGUCGACUAGCCGUUGGGUCCUUCGCGGACUUUGUGGCGCAGUUAACGCGAUAAGUCGACCGCCUGGGGAGUACGGCCGCAAGGUUAAAACUCAAAUGAAUUGACGGGGGCCCGCACAAGCGGUGGAGCAUGUGGUUUAAUUCGAUGCAACGCGAAGAACCUUACCUACCCUUGACAUCCUGCGAACCCUUCGGAGACGAAGGGGUGCCUUCGGGAACGCAGAGACAGGUGCUGCAUGGCUGUCGUCAGCUCGUGUUGUGAAAUGUUGGGUUAAGUCCCGUAACGAGCGCAACCCUUGUCCUUAUUUGCCAGCGGGUAAUGCCGGGAACUCUAAGGAGACUGCCGGUGACAAACCGGAGGAAGGUGGGGACGACGUCAAGUCAUCAUGGCCCUUACGGGUAGGGCUACACACGUGCUACAAUGGUCGGUACAAAGGGUUGCGAACUUGCGAAAGUGAGCUAAUCCCAGAAAGCUGAUCUCAGUCCGGAUCGGAGUCUGCAACUCGACUCCGUGAAGUCGGAAUCGCUAGUAAUCGUGAAUCAGAAUGUCACGGUGAAUACGUUCCCGGGCCUUGUACACACCGCCCGUCACACCAUGGGAGUGGACUGCACCAGAAGUGGUUAGCCUAAC
rnacentral:rRNA from 1 species